rnacentral:rRNA from 1 species
AACGAACGCUGGCGGCAUGCCUAACACAUGCAAGUCGAACGAGACCUUCGGGUCUAGUGGCGCACGGGUGCGUAACGCGUGGGAACCUGCCCUUAGGUUCGGAAUAACUCCCCGAAAGGGGUGCUAAUACCGGAUAAUGUCUUCGGACCAAAGAUUUAUCGCCUUUGGAUGGGCCCGCGUUGGAUUAGCUAGUUGGUAGGGUAAAAGCCUACCAAGGCGACGAUCCAUAGCUGGUCUGAGAGGAUGAUCAGCCACACUGGGACUGAGACACGGCCCAGACUCCUACGGGAGGAAGCAGUGGGGAAUAUUGGACAAUGGGCGAAAGCCUGAUCCAGCAAUGCCGCGUGAGUGAUGAAGGCCUUAGGGUUGUAAAGCUCUUUUACCCGGGAUGAUAAUGACAGUAACGGGAGAAUAAGCUCCGGCUAACUCCGUG